rnacentral:tmRNA from 1 species
UGAGCCCUCUCUCCCUAGCUUCCGCUCUUAAGACGGGGAUCAAAGAGAGGUCAAACCCAAAAGAGAUCGCGUGGAUGCCCUGCCUGGGGUUGAAGCGUUAAAUCUAAUCAGGCUAGUUUGUUAGUGGCGUGUCUGUCCGCAGCUGGCAAGCGAAUGUAAAGACUGACUAAGCAUGUAGUGCCGAGGAUGUAGGAAUUUCGGACGCGGGUUCAACUCCCGCCAGCUCCACCA